rnacentral:rRNA from 1 species
UGGGGAAUCUUGGACAAUGGGGGCAACCCUGAUCCAGCCAUGCCGCGUGAGUGAUGAAGGCCUUCGGGUUGUAAAACUCUUUCGACGGGGACGAUAAUGACGGUACCCGUAGAAGAAGCUCCGGCUAACUUCGUGCCAGCAGCCGCGGUAAUACGAAGGGGGCUAGCGUUGUUCGGAAUUACUGGGCGUAAAGCGCGCGCAGGCGGCCUUUCAAGUCAGGGGUGAAAGCCCGGAGCUCAACUCCGGAAUUGCCUUUGAAACUGUAAGGCUUGAGUACGGGAGAGGUGAGUGGAAUUCCCAGUGUAGAGGUGAAAUUCGUAGAUAUUGGGAAGAACACCGGUGGCGAAGGCGGCUCACUGGCCCGUUACUGACGCUCAGGCGCGACAGCGUGGGGAUCAAACAGG